UAUAUUAAAGUUGUUGCAGUUAAAAAGCUCGUAGUUGAACUUCAGACCUGGCUGGGCGGUCCGCUUAACGGCGUGUACUGUCUGGCUGGGCCUUACCUCUUGGUGAGCCGGCGUGCCCUUUAUUGGUGUGCGUUGGGGAACCAGGACUUUUACCUUGAGAAAAUUAGAGUGUUCAAAGCAGGCCUGUGCCUGAAUACAUUAGCAUGGAAUAAUAAAAUAGGACGUGCGGUUCUAUUUUGUUGGUUUCUAGAGUCGCCGUAAUGAUUAAUAGGGAUAGUUGGGGGCAUUGGUAUUGAGUCGCUAGAGGUGAAAUUCUUGGAUUGACUCAAGACCAACUACUGCGAAAGCAUUUGCCAAGGAUGUUUUCAUUAAUCAAGAACGAAGGUUAGGGGAUCGAAAACGAUCAGAUACCGUUGUAGUCUUAACAGUAAACUAUGCCGACUAGGGAUCGGGCAAUCUCAAACAUGAUGUGUUGCUCGGCACCUUACGAGAAAUCAAAGUCUUUGG
rnacentral:rRNA from 1 species